GGAUGAACGCUGGCGGCGUGCCUAAUACAUGCAAGUCGAGCGAACAGACGAGGAGCUUGCUCCUCUGACGUUAGCGGCGGACGGGUGAGUAACACGUGGAUAACCUACCUAUAAGACUGGGAUAACUUCGGGAAACCGGAGCUAAUACCGGAUAAUAUAUUGAACCGCAUGGUUCAAUAGUGAAAGACGGUUUUGCUGUCACUUAUAGAUGGAUCCGCGCCGCAUUAGCUAGUUGGUAAGGUAACGGCUUACCAAGGCAACGAUGCGUAGCCGACCUGAGAGGGUGAUCGGCCACACUGGAACUGAGACACGGUCCAGACUCCUACGGGAGGCAGCAGUAGGGAAUCUUCCGCAAUGGGCGAAAGCCUGACGGAGCAACGCCGCGUGAGUGAUGAAGGUCUUCGGAUCGUAAAACUCUGUUAUUAGGGAAGAACAAAUGUGUAAGUAACUAUGCACGUCUUGACGGUACCUAAGCAGAAAGCCACGGCUAACUACGU
rnacentral:rRNA from 1 species